rnacentral:rRNA from 1 species
UACGAAGGGGGCUAGCGUUGCUCGGAAUCACUGGGCGUAAAGGGUGCGUAGGCGGGUCUUUAAGUCAGAGGUGAAAUCCUGGAGCUCAACUCCAGAACUGCCUUUGAUACUGAGGAUCUUGAGUCCGGGAGAGGUGAGUGGAACUGCGAGUGUAGAGGUGAAAUUCGUAGAUAUUCGCAAGAACACCAGUGGCGAAGGCGGCUCACUGGCCCGGUACUGACGCUGAGGCACGAAAGCGUGGGGAGCAAACAGG